rnacentral:lncRNA from 1 species
UUGGUCAACAGACAAAAGAUUAUGUUUGAAAGAAGGAAUAUAAAGAACAUUAUGUAACUCAAGAUCAGGUAAAAUUAAUACACUUCCUAAACUGUAAACUUUGACUUUAUAAGAAUUUGGUAGUGUAACUUGAAUAGGGAAAGGAAGUUGUUUGAAAUUAUUUAGAAGUGUUUUAUCAUGAGUCAUAUAUUGUGAGGCUCAUGAAUCAAUUAUCCAAAACUUGGAUGUGAUAGUUGUAAAACAACAAAAUAAAGGUAUGAAAAGCAGCACAUUUACCCACAAAGUUGGCAUUUGCAUUAGCAUUAGAACCUGAAGUACUUAUGUUUUCAACCUGCACAGAUUGUGUCAUCUGAAUCAGCUGCUCACACUAUUCUUUUGUGAACCCCUGUGGAUUCAUUAGGCUAGGUGCAACGCCUCCAGUGAUAACUGCUCCUCCUCUUGAUGUUUCACCUUCCUCAAUCACUGUUGCAUUAGCCUGAACAUUUCCAAAGUUUCUCUUUGGCUUAGUGAACUUGAAAGACGGUGGGUACCCAACAAGUUUAUAACAUUUCUCUUUCUGGUGUCCCUUCUUCUUACAGUAUGAGCAGAAGUUAUUUUUUCUUUCUUCAGUAUUACUGUUAUGAUUUCCACCCCUGUACUCACCGUUAGCUUUCUGUGCAUUCUAUUUUUGUGCAUUAACAUUAUAAGCACUAGGCUGAUCAGUUGACACAUGGUGACCAGAAUGGACCUCUCUUUGAGAUUCUUCAUGUAAAAUGAUUGAAUAAGGUUAUGCUGUAGAAGGAUGGAGCUUUAUCAUGAGGAUGUUUCCCCUUACUCCAGAAUAUCCCUCAUUGAGCCCCAUCAAGAACUAGAUUAGCUUUUGAUCUUCAUUCAUUUUGUGAUUGUGAGUUUUUGCUCCAUAUUUGCACUCACACCCACAAGUUAUGAAAGUAUUAAGAACUUUCAUUUGAUCUCAGAUUCUUUUGAGCCUAGUAAAGUAUGCUGUAACAUCAUUUGUUCCUUGCAAAAUGUUGUUAAGUUCUCUUUGCAGCUGGAACAGCUUUGCACCAUCAGCCUGGCCAUAUCUUUAUUCCAUCUCAGCCCAAAGUUCUUUAGCUGUCUCAGAGUAAAUGACACUCUCUGCUAUAUCCUUGCUUAAGGAGUUUAACAGUCAAGCAAUGACCAUGUCAUUGCAUCUCCUCCACUGUGCAAACAGAGGUGAGUUCUCAACUGGUUUUUGCAUGAACCAUUGAUGAAUCCUAGUUUGUUUUUAGCA